AGCUCAGUUGGUAGAGCAGCGGACUUUUAAUCCGUUGGUCCCGCGUUCGAGUCGCGGA
rnacentral:tRNA from 1 species